rnacentral:rRNA from 1 species
GAUGAACGCUGGCGGCGUGCCUAAUACAUGCAAGUCGAGCGAACGGACGAGAGGCUUGCUUCUCUGAUGUUAGCGGCGGACGGGUGAGUAACACGUGGAUAACCUACCUAUAAGACUGGGAUAACUUCGGGAAACCGGAGCUAAUACCGGAUAAUAUUUUGAACUGCAUGGUUCAAAAGUGAAAGACGGUCUUGCUGUCACUUAUAGAUGGAUCCGCGCUGCAUUAGCUAGUUGGUAAGGUAACGGCUUACCAAGGCAACGAUGCAUAGCCGACCUGAGAGGGUGAUCGGCCACACUGGAACUGAGACACGGUCCAGACUCCUACGGGAGGCAGCAGUAGGGAAUCUUCCGCAAUGGGCGAAAGCCUGACGGAGCAACGCCGCGUGAGUGAUGAAGGUCUUCGGAUCGUAAAACUCUGUUAUUAGGGAAGAACAUAUGUGUAAGUAACUGUGCACAUCUUGACGGUACCUAAUCAGAAAGCCACGGCUAACUACGUG